rnacentral:rRNA from 1 species
CCAAGAGUUCAUAUCGACGGCGGUGUUUGGCACCUCGAUGUCGGCUCAUCACAUCCUGGGGCUGAAGUAGGUCCCAAGGGUAUGGCUGUUCGCCAUUUAAAGUGGUACGCGAGCUGGGUUUAGAACGUCGUGAGACAGUUCGGUCCCUAUCUGCCGUGGGCGCUGGAGAAUUGAGGGGGGCUGCUCCUAGUACGAGAGGACCGGAGUGGACGCAUCACUGGUGUUCGGGUUGUCAUGCCAAUGGCAUUGCCCGGUAGCUACAUGCGGAAGAGAUAAGUGCUGAAAGCAUCUAAGCACGAAACUUGCCCCGAGAUGAGUUCUCCCUGAGACUUUAAGUCUCCUGAAGGAACGUUGAAGACGACGACGUUGAUAGGCUGGGUGUGUAAGUGCAGCGAUGCAUUGAGCUAACCAGUACUAAUGAACCGUGAGGCUUAACCUUACAACGCCAAAGGUGUUUUG